rnacentral:rRNA from 1 species
UGGGGAAUAUUGCACAAUGGGGGAAACCCUGAUGCAGCGACGCCGCGUGAACGAAGAAGGUAUUCGUAUCGUAAAGUUCUGUCCUAUGGGAAGAUAAUGACAGUACCAUAGAAGAAAGCUCCGGCUAAAUACGUGCCAGCAGCCGCGGUAAUACGUAUGGAGCGAGCGUUGUCCGGAAUUAUUGGGCGUAAAGGGUACGCAGGCGGUUUAAUAAGUCGAAUGUUAAAGAUCGGGGCUCAACCCCGCAAAACAUUGGAAACUGAUAAACUUGAGUAGUGGAGAGGAAAGUGGAAUUCCUAGUGUAGUGGUGAAAUACGUAGAUAUUAGGAGUAAUGCCAGUAGCGAAGGCGACUUUGUAGACACAAACUGACGCUGAGGUACGAAAGCGUGGGGAGCAAACAGG